GAUGAACGCUGGCGGCGUGCCUAAUACAUGCAAGUCGAGCGAACAGACGAGGAGCUUGCUCCUCUGACGUUAGCGGCGGACGGGUGAGUAACACGUGGAUAAACUACCUAUAAGACUGGGAUAACUUCGGGAAACCGGAGCUAAUACCGGAUAAUAUAUAGAACCGCAUGGUUCAAUAGUGAAAGACGGUUUUGCUGUCACUUAUAGAUGGAUCCGCGCCGCAUUAGCUAGUUGGUAAGGUAACGGCUUACCAAGGCAACGAUGCGUAGCCGACCUGAGAGGGUGAUCGGCCACACUGGAACUGAGACACGGUCCAGACUCCUACGGGAGGCAGCAGUAGGGAAUCUUCCGCAAUGGGCGAAAGCCUGACGGAGCAACGCCGCGUGAGUGAUGAAGGUCUUCGGAUCGUAAAACUCUGUUAUUAGGGAAGAACAAAUGUGUAAGUAACUAUGCACGUCUUGACGGUACCUAAUCAGAAAGCCACGGCUAACUACGUG
rnacentral:rRNA from 1 species